AGCGAACGCUGGCGGCAGGCCUAAUACAUGCAAGUCGAGCGCGCCCUUCGGGGUGAGCGGCGGACGGGUGAGUAACGCGUGGGAAUAUGCCCUUCUCUAAGGAAUAGCCUCUGGAAACGGAGAGUAAUACCUUAUACGCCCUUCGGGGGAAAGAUUUAUCGGAGAAGGAUUAGCCCGCGUUAGAUUAGGUAGUUGGUGGGGUAAUGGCCUACCAAGCCUACGAUCUAUAGCUGGUUUGAGAGGAUGAUCAGCCACACUGGGACUGAGACACGGCCCAGACUCCCACGGGAGGCAGCAGUAGGGAAUCUUAGACAAUGGGGGCAACCCUGAUCUAGCCAUGCCGCGUGUGUGAUGAAGGCCCUAGGGUCGUAAAGCACUUUCGCCAGAGAUGAUAAUGACAGUAUCUGGUAAAGAAACCCCGGCUAACUCCGUGCCAGCAGCCGCGGUAAUACGGAGGGGGUUAGCGUUGUUCGGAAUUACUGGGCGUAAAGCGCACGUAGGCGGAUUAGUAAGUUAGAGGUGAAAUCCCAGGGCUCAACCCUGGAACUGCCUUUAAUACUGCUAGUCUUGAGUUCGAGAGAGGUAAGUGGAAUUCCGAGUGUAGAGGUAAAAUUCGUA
rnacentral:rRNA from 1 species